UAAUGCUUGGGAACUUGCCUUUGCGAGGGGGAUAACAGUUGGAAACGACUGCUAAUACCGCAUAAUGUCUACGGACCAAACGGGGCUUCGGCUCCGGCGCAAAGAGAGGCCCAAGUGAGAUUAGCUAGUUGGUAAGGUAACGGCUUACCAAGGCGACGAUCUCUAGCUGUUCUGAGAGGAAGAUCAGCCACACUGGGACUGAGACACGGCCCAGACUCCUACGGGAGGCAGCAGUGGGGAAUAUUGCACAAUGGGGGAAACCCUGAUGCAGCCAUGCCGCGUGUGUGAAGAAGGCCUUCGGGUUGUAAAGCACUUUCAGUUGUGAGGAAAAGUUAGUAGUUAAUACCUGCUAGCCGUGACGUUAACAACAGAAGAAGCACCGGCUAACUCCGUGCCAGCAGCCGCGGUAAUACGGAGGGUGCGAGCGUUAAUCGGAAUUAUUGGGCGUAAAGCGCACGCAGGCGGUUUGUUAAGCUAGAUGUGAAAGCCCCGGGCUCAACCUGGGAUGGUCAUUUAGAACUGGCAGACUAGAGUCUUGGAGAGGGGAGUGGAAUUCCAGGUGUAGCGGUGAAAUGCGUAGAUAUCUGGAGGAACAUCAGUGGCGAAGGCGACUCCCUGGCCAAAGACUGACGCUCAUGUGCGAAAGUGUGGGUAGCGAACAGGAUUAGAUACCCUGGUAGUCCACACCGUAAACGCUGUCUACUAGCUGUGUGUGCCUUUAAGGCGUGCGUAGCGAAGCUAACGCGCUAAGUAGACCGC
rnacentral:rRNA from 1 species